rnacentral:ncRNA from 1 species
AGAUUCAGACAUUUGGUUCAUGUGCUUGGCUGAUAAGCCAAUGGUGCGAAGCUACCAUCUGAGGGAUUAUGACUGAACGCCUCUAAGUCAGAAUCCCGCCUGGAAAGCGACGAUGCAUUCGUGCCUCGGCCUCGAGAGGCGUAGCUAGACGGCCGCGUGGCCGUGGAAAGAGCCCGAUUCCGACCCGAGAGGCCGCGGCAAGAGGCGGCCUCGAAGUCGGUGGAUCCUCCUGCUCGAAAGGCGGGGUGCUAAACCAUUCGCAGACGACCUAGUUGAAGAUCGGGGUGUCGUGAUCACUAGAGCAGUACAUCUCACUGCGAUUUGUUGAGAGUAAGCCUCAAGAUCUGUCGGUUUGU